UAAACGGACCAAACUUCAGCCAGGAGAACAACUGAGAUAAUCCAUCCACAAUACGCGAAGUUGACCACGCUGCAGCUGUCAGCCAGCGACCAGGACAGCGAGCCGGGCGAGCGAAACUAAACCAAACCCAACUUUUCCCACCGCUUUCAGACCCUGAUUUCACCUGGCAACCACCA